CCCACAUCAGAUUUCCUGGUGUAACGAAUUUACAAGUGCUUCUUGCAUAAGCAAGUUUGAUCCCGGUCAUCCCCAUGACCGGGAUUU
rnacentral:other from 1 species